rnacentral:lncRNA from 1 species
AUUGUUCUCAGCCAGUCAGACCAUCGUUCUGCCCAUGAAUUUCCUUCAACAACAAAAACAACAACAACAACAACAACAACAAAAAAACAGAUUCUCCAGCGCAACAUCUGAGGAAACAUCAUCAACACUUGGAGACUGCAUCAGGCAAAACUCUGCACUCAACAGUGAGUUCACCCUGUGUGCUUAUGACUACAAUUAGUGCUUUUGUUAUCAGUUGCAGCUUUUAUAGAUGCUUUUGUGAGAAUUCAUUCUGAUGAAUUCUGAUAGAAAAUGAACUCUAUUUUGAUUCUGUUAACCCAGCCCUCACACAGUCUCUCUUUCCUUUUGUUCAGAAUGAAAUAAAAAUAUCUAAUAUGAUGUAAACCAUCCACCAGAAAUCACAGCUACAUUUAAAGGAUUUGAGGAAAAAUAGAAAUGGAGAGAUCGUUGCUGACUGUGACACAUUGAUCUAUUUUAAAUGUGUGAAUUUUUCAUUUCAAAGCUUAAACUGAUUGUGUCUCUACAAGAGGAGACACAACCUUACCAGCAGAGGGUGCUCAAUGUACAGGGAAUGCUCAACAGCGGCCACUGCAGGGGUUGAACGUCCUCAUCAAGUUAGAUCUCAAUUUCUUUGACAGUAUGUUCAGCUCUGAAAAAUGUUUCUUUAACACAUAAAAUGUGUCAUCAAACACUUCAGUUUAUCUACAACAGACGGUAACUUACCCAGAACCUGAAAUUCAUGAGUCAGAGUGCAGUUUGUGCGGGGUGUGUAGCAGCAUUGUGUUCCACUCCUUUUUUUUAAUGAACAGAGUUUCAAAAAGCAUGUCCUACCUGAUCACACAAACACUCACCUGUCAUCCUCGAGUAAUCAUCAAAUCAUUACCUGCUUUAGUAUGUCCGGAAAUAUUUUGAAGACGUCACUGCACUAAAUACCUUAUCAUCUGGAGGUGUCUGGGUAUCUAAAGUGUGACUGAGUACAGCUUUGUAAGAUGCCAUAGCUGCACUAAAAUGAGAUUUCUGGCAUGGGACCACUUUGAUACUCUGAAAAUACAGUGAUUGGUUAGAUUUGGGAUCACUGUUGUUGUAUAAUGACUCAAAUUUCUGAUCUCAGCUCAGUAUUUCGAAUGCAUUGGUGACAGAAAGUGAUGAUCUGCCACAGAUGUGAUAAUACUGCAGCUGAAUACCAAAUCCAAGUGUUUUGAGACAUAGCAUGAGGGCAUAUUGAAAUAUUUUUAUGUAUUGUUUCUGGAUAUAAGACAUCUGGAUUCGCUGGUCUAUAUGAGGGGGAUUUCUCUCACCACUUGUCAUAUAAAUCUCCAAAUAUGUCUCAGAUAUGAUGAAGCCAUUUCAGCAUCCUCCUCCUUCUCGUGUUGCCUCCACGAUGGGGAAUCAUGACUGUGCGACUGAAUGGCACUUAAAUAAAUCUUGACAAGUUACUUUGAGUUUGAGCUAUGAGCUGACCAUCUACAUGCAGCUCAACAGAUUUAUACUCGACCAGUGUCUCUCAAUGUCAUGUACCAAGGCUGUCACCACAUUAGAUUUACACCUUAUGGUAAAAGAAGCCAUAAAACAUCCUGAUAAAAACUUUUUAUAAGUAUUUAUGGAAAACCUUAAAAUAAAAUAGCCCAAAUCAGUGAGAAAAGAAAACAAGGAUGGAUCAAAACACGACCUUAUAACCUUCAAUAAGAAACACAGUGAACCUACGUGUCCUCAUCAAUUUCUAUUAAUAUACACAGUUAUAAUUCAUCACCAGCACUGGACAAGACAUUAUGUUAUUUAAUGAUUUCUUUUUGUCUCACAUAUAGGUGUCUAUAUUCUCUGCAUUGUCAAACUAUGCCUUUAUUUUGAAGUUUGCUCCCUCUGGUAGAUUAUAAAUUACAGAGCUGGGUUAAUACAGUGAAAAGAACGGUUGAAAGAAUGGAUUUUUAAUUAAUUACUAAUCUAAACAUUUUUUGGAUUCACGAUUAAAAGAGUCUUAUCAUCUCUCUGAUGGCUGCAUGCUUCAUCUUAUCCAACAGCUUUACAAAGCUUCCCCGCAGUAAAUUCGUGUUAUUUUUUUUAUUAUUUAUUAUUUUUAUUAUUGUGUUUGAGACUUCACAAAUGUUAUCAAUAUACAGAAUCAAUAUUCUUCCCAGUACAGAACCUUGGGAAACCCCACGCUCAACCUAACAGUUCUGACUGAACCUCAUAGCAGUCUUCUCCUUCAGCUGUCCUCUGUCUUAUGGCCUCUGUCAACCAGCCUUAAGGACCGCUACUAUGAAGCCGCAGUACUACUUUAUGCCUAUAUUCCAAAAAAAUAAAAAUAAAUUAAAAAAAAUUGAUAAUAAUAAUAAUAAUAAUAAUAAUAAUAACUUUAUUUGUAUAGAACAUAAAAAAAAAGAUGUUUACAAAGUGCUUUGACAUGUAGUCGUAGAGCACAUGGAAAAAGACAAAUAAAAACAAAAAGCUCAGUUAAAACAGAAUUGAAGGCCAUUUUCAUGUCAUAAGGAACCCAGACAACACAAGAACCAUGCAACAUAAAAUGAGACCAUGAGGACCAAAAUAAAAACAUUAAAUAGUUAAGAAAAAAGGAAAAUGCAGUUAAAAGGGAGGAAGAAAGUGGAAACAGGAUACUAAAUAUAAAAGGCAAUAUCAACAAUAAUAAUAAAAUAAUAACAGGUAAUCUGAUAAUAAAAGUCAUAAUCAAAUAGAACAACAGAAAUGAGCAAGAGAUAAAACAAUAAAAGGCCCAAAAGGUUAAUUAAGAAAAGAGUACAAGUUUAACAAAAGCUAAAAAGACGGUAAAGCAGAAAUACGAUAGAGGUAAAAGAGAUAAAAGAUGACAGAUAAAAGAUAGAGAUAAAAGAUAAAAAAUAAAUGGCGGCAUCACUUAAAAGCAAGUCUGUAAAAGUGAGUUAUAUAUCAUAUAUUAUAUAUAUAUUAUAUUGUUUUUAAAAGACAGUUAUUGUUGAUACUGUUAUAUUGUGACAGUCAGUGCACAAACACAAGUAUGAAUUCAUGUAUCUACCAUGAAUCUAUCAGUUUGUGCUUCAUGCUGAUCAGUGCUCAUCUGCAGAUUUAGACAACUAGCAUUUUUGAUCACAAAAACAAUCACUCCAACUUCAAGUUUCUUCAUUACAUGUGCCUAAACAUAAGAAUUUCUUAAAGUGUGUGGAAAUAUUGCUUUGUUUCUUUAGAACACUAAUGUUGUGUUAUAUGUGACCUCUGUUUAAAAGAAAUCAUUCCCAAAUCUCACACAAAAAGAGCAUUAUAACCAGCUCAAAAUCAGUUAAUUAUUACUUCUAUAUAUUGUAAGUGACAACUGUGUCAAGGACCCCAAAAAAAACUAAACCCUCCCUUCCCCCGCACCCCCACUUAUCCUAAAUCUUGUAGUUGUCUGUUGAUAUGUGUCAUUGAUCCUCCAUUCAUUCCUGGACCAGCCCAGCUGUCAAUCACUUCCACCUCACUGCUCCCCCCAACGGCUGCACUCAGUCCCACUGCAGCUCCAGACGUCCAUCUGAGCUCUUUUAUGCAAUCCACCCCUUCACUGCUACGUGACGGCAUGGGAGACCAGGCGCUGACCCUGAAUCAGUUCCUGUUGCAGCACUUGGGGAGGGUGGAUGCAGAGAGGGUGAAAAAGAAAACAGAGAGAAAGGGGAAGCCAAUCAUCACAUCACCUCCUUAGCCAGACAGAGCAGAUCUCAGAGAUUUAAAUGUUGAUAAUUAAAAAAUAGGAGCAUAUUGUUUAGCCCCCAGGGCAGACUCAUACAGUAGAGAAGCUACGCCGGAGGAGAGGGGGGUGGGGUCACCUCUGCUGCCACCAACAGAGAUAUCCAAUAGAGGCUGCAGGGGCUGGGGGCGGGGGCCAUCCAUUUCAACAUCCAGGGAUUAUGCAGCUCAAUCAGACUCUGGCAGAUUAUGUCUGAACCAAAACAGACUCAGCCAGGGAUGGAGAUUAACAACUAUUUCCAAAUAACUCUGUUGCAUGAAAACAAUCAGCUUUGAGAUUAAGAGGAGAGCGAGAGGCUUCAAAUGGCCCACAGAUGUAAAAGCGAUGGUUUGGGAGGAUAAAUCUGUCCUGAAAUCCUUUCAGACGCAAUGGUUUCAAUAUGUUUCUGAGGUUAGAGUGUAAUUGGAUUGAUUUUACUAAUCCAAAAAAUAUUCUCGGAAAGCUUCUAAGAAAAAAAAACAAUCAGAGUCAGCAAAAACCUGUCCUUCAGGGACGUAAUUAAAAAUCCCCACCCUGUCACGAACACUAAUCUGGGUUAAAUGGUUAAAUGCAGAUUGAUCUUUAAAGCAGGGAUAAAAUAUGAAACUGAUAACAAAUUGGUCUUUGCUCUGGUUAACUUUUAUUUGUUAGUAACUGCAUUAGAUUAAUCUCCCCUUCAGAGUGCUGCAUCGAUGCUUCAUCAUCCAAGAAAAGACCAAUGUGGGAACACAACCCAAGGAGAAAAUCUGAUGAUCCAGUAAUCCAAAAUCUAGAAUCUGACCUCAAGAUAUCAUGAAAUAAUCUCAAUGGAACCUCCUAUACUGGCUGUCAGAAGAAAAAAGUUUAAGGUGAUGCUCGCAGGAUCAGAUUAAAAGUAAAGGUCCUUUCACACCGGGACUGUCUUUUUCGUACGAUUAUUUCGGAUGUUAAUAUUUUUUUUCAAACCCAUAUUCUGUCAAUACAAGUGUUCACACCAGAGACGUUUUCCCGUCCUGCGAUAUUGCGACAUUUAUUUUUUUUGGAUCAUGGUCGAUUUUCUAAAGUUUCACAUAUUGUGUGUCCACGUCUGACCAAUCAGAUUGCGUGUUGUUGCGACGACAGAUUCACCGGUAUAUCCAACAUGGCCGACCAGCAGAUUGUUUACGUUUAUUGUUUGAUAAAAGACACAAACAUUACAAAGAUAACAACCUUAACGACAACUUGUGGAGAGUCAUAGCGUUGGAUCUCUCAUAUGACAAUAGUUAGUGUGCUUUAACAGUUUGCUAAACGUCUUUGUUUUAACUUUCAUCUGUGCUAAGUAACUUUAGCUCAUAAACUAACCUGUUCAGAUACAGCAUGCCAUAUGUAUUUUCACUGCCUCAAACUCAAUGUGCAGGCCUAACUUUCUUAAAAAAUAAAAUAAAAUACAAAUAUUGUACUAAAACAAUCAAAUAGUAAUUCUGUGUAAUUAAUUAGUUGAGAGUAGAGGGCAGUAUUGGUUCUUAAUCUGUUUUUUAAGGCAAAAUUGUGGAACUGUUUGCCAACUGAGCCGGCACAACAACAUAACUGUAGUGUUUAGUCAAGGGUCUUAAAUCCUGAUGGAACAAGAAACAACUCUGCUCUGUGGCCUGCAACAUCAGCAGACAUGUCAGGAGAGGAUUUACUGUUUGGAAAUCCUCUAACAUUCAUCAUUGUUGCAUUCACCACUGAGAUCUCAUACAUUAAUGCGUUAAUGUCAUUCUGAAAAGCAGAAUCACAUGAAUGUGUUUAAUCUCUGGAGUCUGUCACAGGGCUGGUGGUGUGUACAAAACAUGAACAUUGAACAUCAUUGGAAAUAAUUAAUUGCUGACACUGAGGUAAGCAGGGUUAGGUAAGACAAGUUGACCGCAGAGAUCCAUACAUAAACAGAGCAAACUCAAAGUAAAACUGCAGUGAUUAAAAAUGUAGGCAUUAAUUAUUGUGUUUAAGAACAAACGAGGUAAAAAUGAGACAUAAUUAAAAAUGAGACAUUUAAAUAUGAAAAAAUGGUCAAAGUUUAGAAGUGUACAAGGGUAUUGUUGCUUCAUCUUUAUCUUUUACUCAAUACGACAAAAGGCAGCCUUUUUUUCUAUAUUUGUAAUAAUCAAUAAAUGAAGAAAUAUCAUCCUUAUUGUAAUUUUCUGGGCCAUGAUAACAGUGAGGAUAGAACCUGAUAUUGUGACAGCCCUCAUCUGUUUUCUUUUGUGCUAAUCACAGCUGUUUGCAGACACAGGACAACAACGUUCCAGGUGUUUUGUCGAAUAAUUCAAGAUUUACAACUGUGACAUACCUGCUAUGAAACUUUGAGCAGUGGUUCUUAACUGGUCCCACUCUGGGACCCACACUUUCCCAUGGUCCUUAAGUCGCGACCCAUUUUUACAGAAUUCAAACUAAGCAAAUUUAAUUUUAUAUAUAAAAAAAAACCUUUAAAGACUCUAAUCUUUAUCAUAAAUCCUCUUGUUUUAUUGAGUAAAGUGCAUUUCAGAGCACAUGAAGGGGACAACAUGAGGACGACAACAACUGAAGUUGCUUGUUCCAAAAACAUCAAAUAUCUAAUUAAUAUUGCAUUAAAUAUUUACUUUUUUGACCAGCUGUUCGGGACCCAUCCAGAACAUGUCCGUGACCCACUUUUGGGUCAGGACCCACCAGUUGAAAACCACUGCUUUGAGUGAGGUUUAGGAUGCCAGCUUCUUGUUUGCUUGUUAUGUGUUAUUUUGUUCAUGGAAGUCUAUGUAUCAACACCCCAUCAUUAUCAUCAGGUGUCCAACAGGACCCAGCAUGAAACAGCUGUUUGACAGUCUGCUAAAAUAAGUCUCACCUGCAGUAGCUGUUUGGUGUGUACUUCUCUAAAGGCUGAGGAUCCUUUGGUGAUUGAACCUCCUGAUAGCUGUGACAGGCCUCCAAAUACAGGAAGAGCCCUUCAGUGUGCUUAAGUCAGGGACAGAGGUGUUAUUUAAAAACUUAUGCUGAUUCAUUUUCAUUUUUUUCCUUCAGCUCACUCACCCAGGUUAAGAAAUGCUGGGAUAUCCUCUGGUAAAACAUCAGAUGUAUUAGAGAUUUGAAUUCAAAGGCCAUUCAGACACACAGAAACAGCUGAAGAACAAUGAUUUUAUCAUGAUACUUGUUUAACUCACAUUAUUAUGCUGGAAUUGGAUUAACCUCCAUGUUUCUGAGAGUGUUCAGUGUGUGUCUCUGCUGCGCUGUGAGUGUGGGGACUGUGAAAUAGAGCUGCAGGCCGACUGAUGAGUGACACUCUGAAUGUGCAUUCCACUUGAUUAGCUCCGUGCUUCAAUUCACUGAUGGUAGUCCUUUCAUCCUAUUAGCUCCAAAUUCCUAUAACGGGGUCUCUAAAUGCAUGGGCCCCAAAACCAGGGCCGGCCCCUGCUGGGAGGGCAUAUGGGGUGCUUUGUUGGCAGGAAGGGAGUGUGUGUGCAGGGUCCACCAAUCACUGCCCUCGCCUGGGGAGUUAAACAAAUUGAUUGGCAGGCAAGUGGCGGCCAGUUCCAGACACUGUGGUCCCUAUUCAUCCCAACACAGAGCCCAAAGAGCUCUGCGGUGAGCCAGCUGAAAGGCUGGAGGAGUCAUAAAAGAGGACUAGUUUAUUCUUUAAACAUACACUUCCACAUUUGGUUACAACACACCACCACCGAGCCUGAAAUCCUCAGUCUGCUCCCUUUACAAAGUGGUUUUCGGGAUUCAUCUGUGAGUCACAGCAGCAGGCUGGAAAGAGGUUUACGAGGCUGAUCCUCUAUAGGAUCAAGCAGAAAGUGUGUUUUCAAAAUGUUUUGGUUUUAACUCAGGCUACACUAACAGUUCACAGUCUGAUUUUCUGAACAGUCUAUAUUAGCUGACAGCCUCCAGUAUACGCUACUUUUCUGAUUGUGUUUCCAACUCAAUUUCCCCAAAGUUUCUAAAGUACACAGAUUAAUAAACCCACAUGAAGGAGUUUCACUGAUUCAUCUGAUGUCAUACCAGGUCCAGCUGUCUGUCUUUUUUCUUUUAUUUUAAUGUAUGUACAAUGCUGCAUUCCAGUUGUACUCAGAAGUCGGAAUUUCAGAGCUCCAAGUCGGAAAUUCAUCUGGAACGCCCCCCUGAAGUGGGAUUUCCUACUUGGAAAUUUGGGCGAUUCUCACCAACCCUGACUUGACGACAAUGUCAUAAUUCAAGAGGGCAGCGCAGUGCAUCAACAGUAAAGAGUAACAGUGAAAGCUCUUGCAAUGUAUUAUUUAUUAGCACUUCUGUUUUGUUUUGUUUUUUGUGAAAUUAAAUAAGUGGUAUAAGAUGAACUGCCCAACGUCUAACUGUGAACAUGGUGCUACGACAACCGCUAACAACGGCUAACGACAGCUGACAAUUGUAAACAACAGCUAACAACGGGUAACUGUAGGGGUCUAUCUUGGUUUUCCAACUUGUUAACUGGAAAGCUGUCAACUCGGGUGUAACGUCAUUCCUAGCUCUGACAUCCGACUUCAAAAGUAACUGGAACGCAGCACAAGUCAAUUCAUGUUUUUUUUGUUUUGUUUUUCUUUUAAUCAAGUACUGUCUUAUCAGCACCAGUGAGAAAACAGGGUAUGUGAAUUGUUGCAGUAAAGUGGUGCAUCAUCAAUAUCUGAAUGUUUACACUGGCCUGUCGACUAAAAACCACUCCAGUGGGUCAGCUGUCAUGAUGCUUUAGUGGGUUUUUGAUGCCUGAUAAGGAUGCGGUUCGUCAUCCUGUGAACCAUACUGUCUGUGUAUGUUUUUUUUUUUCUAAAGUUACAAAACUUUCCCCUUUAUAGUGUGUGUGUUUCUCACCUCCUUCAUGUUACAGUUGUCUGUGUUUACAACUCGUUGAAAUAAAAAAGCACUAUGCAGUAAGUUCUUUUUUCUGUUUGGCAGCCCACACUGUUGGUAAUGUAGCUUUAAAAAAAAAAAAAAAAACAACAAUAACAGAGUUUCUUCACCAUCUACUUCAAGAAUUAGACUGACAGCAAAACAAGUCCCUUCUGCUACCUCACUUUAGUAAGGAAAGUGACCCUUUUCUAUAUGUUUUGAACCAAAGAAGCCCAGAUUUGCAUUUUAUCAACUAAAGCCAUUAUUUUUACCAUUCUGUGCUUUGACCUUUUUUUAAUGCAAGAAAUAUUGAUUUGUAACACUUCUGUCAUUCUUCCCCAGGUGCCACAGUCUGCACCCUAACCGGGCCUGAUGAAAACAGGCCGUCACACAGAAGCGGUCAUCUGCCGAUGCCAAGGUGAAUGGCUCAGUGCCCACAUAGAUUAAACCAGUUCGCAAUUAGCCAAGGCCAGUCAGCCAGCAAGACACCAACAGGCAGGCAGCAGCUCAAACUAGCCAACCAGGCAGACACACACACACACACACACACACACACACACACACACACACACACACACACACACACACAAACUCAUGCCCAGCUGCAUUAUUUUUCUAUUAUUUCUUUCUGUCUUCUGUUGGGGCUGUUUAUCAUGACCUGAUUCUGCCUGAACAUGCGGUUUGCACCCUCUCUCUCUCUUCCUGCCCCCCCCCCCCCCCCAUCUCUCUUUCUCUCUCACACACAAACACUCAGCGUCAUGACUUGUACCUCUGCAUCAUGUUUCCCUCUCUUCCUGUUACUCUCUCUCCUUCAUUCUGGAUUCAAUCGGUUGAGCCAUCUUGGAUCAUAGCUGGAGUCAUGGGGCCCUUUAUUAUCAGUGCUGUGCUGAAAUGGUUUGGACUUCUUUCAGUAGAGGCAAAAAUGAUCCUCUACAGGUCCUUUCACACCGGAACUGUUUUAUUGUUCGAUUAUUACAGAUGUCCGAAUAUUUUUUCGGAACACGGCCAAUUUUUCUAAAGUUUUGCAUACUGUGUGUCCACUUCUGACCAAUCAGAUUGCGUGUUGUUGUGACAUCUGAUUCAUCAGUAUAUCCAACAUGGCCGACCGGCUGAUUGUUUACAUGUCGGAGAACAGAGUGGUUUUUGAUAAAAGACACAAAUAUUGCAAAGAUAACGACCUGAAGGACAACUUGUGGAGAGUCAUAGUGGCGGAUCUCUUAUAUGACGAUAUUUGUGUGCUUUAACAGUUUGCUAAACGUUUUUGUUUUAACUUUCAUCUGUGCUAAGUAACUUUAGCUCGUAAGCUAACCUGUUCAGAUACAACAUACCAUAUGUAUUUUCACUGUCUCAAACUCAAUCACGUUGCUGUCACAGCACCAUUAGGUCUCGGUUGUUACCUUACGUUUAUGGAUUAUAGUUUAAUGCGCUUAUCUGGAACUGGCCCCGACUCAGUACAUGCUAUCAUGACAGACAGCCAUCUCAACACUAGUGUCUAAUCAGAACUGAAUCCGGGACACGUCUUUUUCCCCCUGGAAAGUCUCAAAAUCGCAUCAGGCUUGAUGUGUAUAGUCAGGCGUGCCAAAAUUCGCCUCCGAAUAUUUCGUAAUUUCGUGUUCUUUAUUUGCGUCGGUCCUGGUGUGUAAGGACCUUACCAGUUAGAAACAUCAGUGGUUAUUAAGAUGAGUUAUUGAGCUUGAAACACUGGAUCUGUUACCAACAUCAAAAACCUUUGGUUGUUGCGCGGUUGGUAAUUCAACCACAAACUGAUGGUCCACAAAAUUUUAACAGAUCCCGUAUUUUUUGACUUCUUACAGCCAGUUCAAAGAGUGUUUCUGAAACAGGUGAAUAGAGAGUGAUAAUAAUCUGAUCCAGAUUUAACAAAAGCAUGAUCAGCUUGGACACAACGGGUGUAAGUUUUGUACUGUUUCUUAAAUACUCAGAGCCUGGCCCAGUUGGAUACAGACACAGGGCAUGCUUUAGAGGAGGAAGUGUGUGUGUGUGUGUGUGUGUGUGUGUGUGUGUGUGUGUGUGUGUGUGUGUGUGUGUGUGUGUGUGUGUAGGUGGACAGGCCCAGCUGCCUGUGUUAGCCCUCUACAGAGCACUGACCUGAGUGUCAUGGAGCACCAGUAUGAGGCAUAUUAUCCACCUCAUCAAACAGACCCCCUGAAUCACUCUUGACUCUCUCAAUACUCUUUUUAUCUAAUGUACUGUGCGCAUUUCAAAAGGGGGUUAGCUGGAUGGGUGGGUGGGUGUAGGGGGUUAGAGUAACAGGAGAGAGAGAGAGAGAGAGGGGUAAAAGAGAAGGAGAGAAACAGCUUUUUAUGAGAGACUGGAUGGAGAACAGGGCAGAAAGUCUCUCGCUUUGUCCGAGAAUGGAAAUCAUAUUUGGUGGGGGGCCAUCGCUUUUGUUGUGUAUUAAAAGAGUAGUUGAAAAGACAGAGCAUUUCUUUGUGUGUGUAUGAAGUGUGUCAGCAUGUCCCUCACAGUUUCAGUCUUCAGAAUAUGUUAACAUGUGUCUAAGUCUAGAUUUAGAAAUUUGUUUGAAUGCCACAAGCUGCAAGCAGUUUUUUACCACUGGAUCACAAAAAUAUAAGUACUUUGCAGCUGUAUUAAUUAUAGGAAAAGAGGUGGUAGCUGCAUUGAAAGGACUGCUUUCUGAACACUGUGACACAUAAUUGGAUUUUAAUGUGUUUCUAAAUUUCUUGGACAACUUCCUCUCACUCCAGCGCUGGAAUUAGUCUGUUCGGUGUCAGUCUGAAAUUUCAAAGCCACGAUACAACGGCCGAGAAGCCUUUACAUAUCUUAUACUUGGAAUAAGAUCAUAAAGAAAUAUUUGUAAGAGAUGGUGCAGAGAGAGAAAGGUGAACUGAGAUGAGAUAUGAAGAUAAAGUGAAGUGGCCUUACCCUGUCAACCAACAACUAGAGAUACAAACAGAUUGUCUGAAGAUGAUUUUGUAGAUUCAAAAAUGGUCUACUUAUGCAGUUGAAAAAAGAAAUGGCAAGUUAUUCGUGACACAGUCAAGAUAAAUAGCACUUAUAUGAGGGAUAACACCGACACAAAGCCACCGACCGCUCGUCUGAUCGUACACGCGUUAUCAAGCAGACCGCAAACAACCUGCAGUGUUUGACGACACUUGUAUUUGACCAAUCUCUGACAAGGUGUGGGAGCUCUGUGAGAGAAGACAAACAGCAUCCAGCUGGGUUCACAGCUUUCAAGGGCUCCUUUAUCAAGCUCAAAUGUUUGACUGCCACUGAUGAUGCUUAUGUAACUUGGCCGGCUACUGCAAGGGCUCCAGCAGAAAUGCUAACAAGGAUAUUAUCCACCAUCCCUGCCACUGAUCGAUGACCUUUUCACACAAGCACACUAAUUACCCUAAUUUAAUCUUUCCUCUACAGUCUGUCAGUGUACAGGUGUCCAUCCAUUUCAAAUCUACUCAUAAAGGAUUUCUUUUUUUCUGUUUUUGAGGUAGGUCUUGGUCUUUUGCCACAUAAGUAGGUAAUCAACAUAAAACAAGGACAAGUUUUUCUUCCAAGUGCAUCAGAAAAUAUUGUCUCUCAAAAUCUGAGAACAUCAUGAAAAACUUUUUUUAAAUUUCUUUUUUAAAUAGUUUGAUUCAAAACUGUUAGCUUCAGUCCGUUCAAAAUUCAUCACAUAUAAGAUGAAACAUGCUUAAGUUUUGUUGGUUAGUUUGAUGAUUACAGCUAAUAGCUCAUGUCAUCAGAAAUCCAGUAUCUUAAACUAUUACAAUCUUAACAGCCAAUCUAAACUAACACAUCAAUAAAUAUUUGAACAAAUGAAUGAAAAUAGAAUUGUACAAACAGAUAUGCCUGACUUCCAAAAACUAUGUUCAAACUUCAUGCUGGAGUUCAAACACCUUGGAUUUUGAGCCUCUCUGAUCCUCCUCCAGACUUUGGGACCUUUAUUUUCAACUGAGGCUAUGUUCCCACUGCAGGUCAAUUCAGAUUUUUUCAUGUGUGUGAACAGUGCAAUUCAGCUUUUUUCAAAUGUGACCCAGGCCUUUUCUGUACGUCGAUAUAAAUCAGAUAUGUAUCCGAUGUGACUGCAGUGUGGACGCUCAGGUCGCGUUCAUCCGACCUAUACGUCAUGAAUAUGUGACAAACAUCACCAUUGUUCGACAACACAAACAGGCACGGAAAGCAAUUUGUGCUUUGUGCAAAUGCGAGUCACUUCACGGACUCAUUCCGUUCACAUUAGAUGUCGCAUUUGUUGUUGUAAUGUAACAAUCGCACAAAAAGAUCGGAUUUAACAAAAAAACUGAAUUGUGCAUCAUAACCUGCAGUGUGAACGUAGCCUGAGAUACUGAUUUGACUUUCAACUUAAAACGGGACUUAGGACCUCUGAGCAGUUGUCCAGAUCUUGUUAUUCUUAGCCCAGGUGACACUCUCUGACAUUAUCUCUGGUUCAGUAAGGUCUUGAAAGUAGGACUACUACACUUGUAGUCCAGUUUCUUGGCUCAUCUGUGCGUAGAGGAUGCACAGUAGAUGCUCUGACUCCAGCCUCAAUCUAGUCUUUGUGAAGCACCCCUAAGUUCUUGAAUCUGGGUUGUCUGAGUCCUCUUGAGGCUGCACUCAUCCCUAUUGCUUGGUCUUCUUUUCCUCCCUCACCGUUCCCUUCAGUCAUCUUUCAUGAAUCUGCAUCUAUACAGACUCUGUGAACAGCCAGACUUUUCAGUAGUGACCCACUGUGGCUGAUCCUUCUUACAGAAGGGGGUCACUGAUGGUCCUAAUAAACAUCUAGUCAGCAGUGUGAACCAUGACUGUGGUUGACUGUACCUUUAAGGUAGACAGAUCCAUGGUUGGUUCUACUUUAACAGUUAUUUACUCAAACUUGACAUAAAAACUAUUCCAAUAUUUAGGAGAUUAUUUCUUUUAACCCUUGAGUUGUAGACCGUAAUAAUCCAAACCAAAACAGAGGAACUUUUGAAAUAUUUUAGUCCAUAUAUGUGUAGUAAAUUUGGAAUAUUUGACAUUUUCUGUUCCUGAAAUAAAAUAACCCAUGAAAACACUAAACUUGUUCCAUGAUAUUCAGAUUUUUUGAGCUGCAGCUACUUGUUGAUCUGACUGAACCGACUGUCAUCGAUGAUAAUGGUGGACUAAAUUCUUCCUCCAGUUUCAUUCCUUCUGUGGAGUUAACAUGUAUAUCGGUAGUUUUAACUUGGCGUCAGUAGAUAUCAGUUCAGUUAAGCUGAAUGGUUGUAGCAACACUGACUGAAGCUCCCAUGUUGGGAAACAGAUGUGCUGUCUGAGGCUAACAUCUGUGAAGGGUUAGUUUUCCCUCCGCUGGAGGUGGAUCACUGAUGGGCCUGACGAGCAUUAACUUCUCAUUACCAGCUCCGUCUCUUUUGUUGUAUCUCAAUAAAAGAAAAAAGCAAAGCAAAGAACCAACCAGCCUUUAUUUUAUAUAAGUGUGACCAGCUCAGAGAGCCCAGUGCAAACACACAGCAGAACUUUGAACUCCGUGGUUUGGAGGUCAGAACCUGGUCAGACAUUGGGGGGAGGAAAAGAGGCCCUCUGGGUUCAAGUGGAUCCUCUAAAAGUGACCGAGGAGAAUGGGCCUCAGAAACACACACUCACACUUAGACACAUACUUAAACUCCUUUAAGCCACAGACAGAGGUGAAGUGUCAGUGCAGAUGUUUUGUGUUGUGUCCAGCCACCCAUGUGGAGGGCAGGGGGAGCUGGUGACUGGAUGGUCAGCCACUUUUGAAGUGAUUAACAGGCGGACUUUUAUCAGCCCAUUUUGACUCCCAUCUUUACAAAUACAGCUGUUUAGUCACGGUGGCCAAUCACACAUCGAUUCUACCAUGAACAUGUUAACACUGUGAAUUGAAACGUGUCGUACGUGAACUUUCACUGAGGAGACUGAUUAGAACUUUUUGCAGUGGAGGUGUUACUGCUGAAUACAUGUCGUACCCUGCAAAUGUGGACGGACACGUAAAACUCAAGCUGAGUGUACGGUGCAUUUACACAGCUAUCGGCUCAAGGUCCUUUCACCCGGGGACCAUUUUUGUUGUGCGAUUAUUUCGGACGUCGAUAUAUUUUUUUAACUCGUAUCCUGUCAAUUUUUCUAAAGUUAAGCAUACUGUGUGUCCACUUCUGACCAAUCAGAUUGCAUGUUGUUGCAAUGUCAGAUUCACCGGUAUAUCCAACAUGGCUGACCAGCUGAUUGUUUACGUGUCAGAGAACAGAGUGCUUUUUGAUAAAAGACACAAACAUUGCAAAGAUAACAACCUGAAAGACAACUUGUGAAGAGUCAUAGUAUCAGAUUUCUCAUAUAACGAUGGUUUGUUUACUUUAACAGUUUGCUAAACGUCUUUGUUUUAACUUUCAUCUGUGCUAAGUAACUUUAGCUCGUAAGCUAACCUGUUCAGAUACAACAUACCAUAUGUAUUUUCACUGUCUCAAACUCAAUCGUGUUGCUGUCACAGCACCAUUAGGUCUCAGUUGUUACCUUACGUUUAUGGAUUAUAGUUUAAUGUGCUUAUCUGGUACUGGCCCCGACUUAGUACAUGCUAUCAUGACAGACAGCCAUCUCAACACUAGUGUCUAAUCAGAACUGAAAAACAGUCAGUCUGCUGUUGUGUCAGUCUUCUCGCUUUCACCCAGGACGCACCUUUUUCCUCCCGGAAAGUCGCAAAAUCGCAUCGGGCUUGAUGUGUAUAGUCAGGCGCGUCAAAAUUCGCUUCCGAAUAUUUCGUAAUUUCGUGUGCUAUAUUCGUCUCAGCCCCAGUGUGUAAGGACCUUUACUCACUUGAUUUUUUGAUGCAAGGUUAGAACUAAAAAAAACAAACUUUUAAUCACAGCAGCUGUGGUCAGGAUGCAGCUGAAGAGGGUUUGCAGCAGUGUUACAGAUUUAUACACCAUAUUCAUGCUCUUCAAAGUUUCCCAGUAAUAAGAGGGAUCUUUGUCAAUCUAAACAGUCAGUAGCUUUCAAUAUCAAUGUUCUCAAACUCCCCUGCACCAAUCACCCACCUACCCCCCAUCCUGCCCCCUAUAUUUGUACAGCAGGUGAUUAAUGGAUGCCAUUAGAUUGGAGUCUAUUUGAAACUGUAAAGCAGCAGACCAGUGAUGGAGAUGUGCCAAAUGGCUUUAUUGGGUGUUAUCAUCCCAUUUCAGGGCCCCACAAAGUUGGUUAAUGAUUGACGUGCCUGUACCUGUGGAUGGCUGAAACACAUGGUGGACGGGUGAAGUGGAGAUGGAGCUUUGAACAUUUAUGGUAGUUUCCUGGCAAGCAAAAGCAAAUACUCUGACAUUCUGGAUGAUAUGAUUUUUUUAUUUUUUUGCUGUUUAUGCAGAUAAACUGACAAAAAAAGAUUUUAAAAUGUAAUGAAAUUUUGUGAUGUACUGUGAAACUGUUGUGACUAUUAUUCAAAGAAAGUUGGAGUCAGGCUGUUUUCAAAAGCGAGCCAAAAUGAUUAAGAAAAACUAAAAUAAUAAUAAUAAUAAUAAAAAAAAAAAAGCCUUGAUACCUCUGUACAGCAGGUGACAUGACACUUUUUUUUCCCAUCUUCAGCUGUGAAGGCAGUUUCACUGAGAACGAGUUUUGAUCAGUCAGCCAUACAUGAGGAGGUUGUGCACCUUUAUAGCCUGGACUGAGUGUUCGGCUCACAUACAUACCAGAGCAAAGCGAUUUGCUCAAAUGAAUAAUCGGUUGUGCAUAAAGACUAAGGGCCUGAUCUACUAAGAUCCCAAAUACUGAGCGCUAAAUUGCAUGUGCAAACUAAAAAAUUGCAUGUGUUGCGGGUGGUCUACUAUCAUUGCGUGCGCAAUUAACGGGUGCAACAGUGGUGUGGACCGUCCUCUUAUAAGGAGGAUAUUGCGUGCUCUAUCGUACGUCACCAUGGAGAGUUUAUGAGAGCAGAGUGUUUGAAGCCAUAGAGUAGCACAUAUCGUUUUGGGGAACUGCAUAAAAGGCAAGGCAAGUUUAUUUGUAUAGCACCAUUCAUACACAAGACAAUUCAAAGUGCUUUACAGAUACAAGGCUAUAUACUAGAAAACAAAAAAGGGAUUAAAUCGAUUUAAAAUUAAUAAGACAAACAGAUACAUUUUUUUUGUCUGUUCCAUGUUUGACAUUAUUUAUGAAAAUCAUCAUUUACCAGAAAAAUUAAAUAAAUCACAAGCUUUUGGACAAGGACCUUGGCGUGUAUCAUGGCUCUUCUGCAUCCUUCUCCCCACAAUGACUGUGCGUAAUGCUGUGUCAGUUUGCACGUGCUAAACGUGCUAAAUAGAGACACAAAACAGCGACAGCAAUCGGUUUCCGAGUUUGAUAGAUCACACUGCGGGUGCUAAAUGAUUUCAUUUGCACCUGCUCCUCACAGAAUUUUGUGCGUUCUGAUGAUCUACAUACAUUCUGCAUAUUCAUGAAGGCAAAUACACUAAAUCGAUUGCGCGCAGUGUUUUGCUCAUUUGACAGACGCAAUCCUCAGUGCACCUGGUUAGUAGAUCAGGUGUACGUGUGCUAUCAAGUUUGCACGUGUUUUUGCACAUGCAAAACUUUAGGAGAUCAGGCCCUAAAUAUCUCAGAUAUUCAAGCCCCAUUUUUUUUUAAGCCUGGUAGAAUGUUUUUAUUGUUUUGUGUCCUCUAUAUUGUCUGUUGUGUUGUGUAAGACACAAUACUUAAGCAUCUCUCGCUCAUCACUGCAUUCUCUAUGAUCUGGCUGGUUGGACAUCACUAAGCAUUCGCAGACAACAACACACUGGUAUUUAUUCAUCUAUAAAGCUCUGCAGGGUAAACUCCCAGAAUACCUCAGGAGCCUCCUCUCUAUCAACUCUGUGAACCCCAGAGUAGUUGCUUUUGGUCUUAAGAUCCUUUCACACCAGGACAAUUUUUUAUGUGCGAUUAUUUCGGACGUGAAUAUUUUUUUAGCUCAUAAUAUUAUAUUUUGUAAUUUUGCAUGCUAUAUUAGCGUUGGCCCGGUGUGUAAGGACCUUUAGACAGGGCUGGGCAAAACAUUAUUCUCCCAUCAUGCACCAUGGUUAUGGAACACCCUUCAAGAAAUUCUCAGAUUAAACACUCGUGUCAUUAAAUAAUUUUAGGAGUAUCAAUAAAGAAUACAGUAGAGGAGGAAGGUCACUGUUUUUUCAUGAGAGGCCACCUCUUUGAACAGCUGUUACUCUGCUGUUUUAUUGUACAUGCACCUUUAUCUGUUUUAUCUCUUCAUUGACUUUGAGUACUACAUUGGCCAGGCCUCUCUAAUGAAAGAGAUUUUUAAUCUCAAUUGGACUGCUGGCCAGGUUAUACCACUUUAAGGUGUCACCACUAUGUCAGUGUAAAUGCAGAGAGAAAAAAGUGCCCAUGGUGUAGAGCUCAGCGGACUCCUCAUGUGGAGAGUUCCCCUUCAAAAAGUCCACAUAAAUGUCUGUUCUGAAAAAAGAAAUAUUUACUGAAAGCAGAAUCACAACUUGUGCAUUCACAAAACUCCCACACACCUAAAGCAUGAUCAGAUACGGUUAAGGACACUGGGAUCUAUGUAAAAAGCCCUUUGGGGACUAAUAAUGGUUUUACUAACAGAAAGCUAGGAGUCCAGUUAGAGUACUUUACUAAGAUGCAAUUGAGGAUUAAGAAUCCAGUAGCAAUCAUCCCAACAUGAGGUGGGGUUGAAGUAGAUGAGUGCUGAACUUAAAUGUACCACAAAGUUUGGAUGAAUGGACAACCAUAUCAUAAAGAAGGGAUACAUGCCACAGAGGCAGAUGCAGCCUGCAGCCUCUGUGGGUGGAGACUCUCUUGAAGUUGAUGUCAUGUUAAUGAAGACCUACGCCUUUAGGUCACCCAGUCGCCUGCCAUGUUUUGUCUCAGAGCCCAUCCCCCACUCACACAGCAUUUCAGUGAUAGGGCUUUUGUGUGUCUGUGAGAAAGUGUGUGUGUAUAUGUUUUUGGUCCAAGGCAAGAGAAGUGUCUUUUUGUCUUCAUUAUAGUCACUCUGAUCAUUGGAAAUCUAUGAGUGGGGAAAACUGAGCGUAAAUAAUAAUAAUAAUAAUAAUAAUAAUAAGAAGAAGAAGAUCUAUGAUAAACAAAACGCAGUACUGAUGUGGAAAGAGCUGCAAACUGAAAACAGUACAUAAGUAGAAUGUAAGAAGCUGAUAACAGUGAAUCAAAGUUGGCGAGACUGAACUUCAGAUGUCCUUAUAAAGAUCCUUUUAACAGGAAAUGAGUCCAUCAACAGUGCUUACACACACAGUCAUUUAGGCUCAGCACACAUCAGACCUCUUUGAAAGGCCCAUAAUCAGCUGCCCGCUCCUGCUGUCGGCGGUGAAACAUAGAGCUACAGCUGUCGUCUGUGUGUGCUAGCAAACCUCUGGAACUAAUACUAAUACUACAGUGCAUUUUCAAAACACAUGGUCAACAUUUACAAAUCAACAAUUAGUCUGUCGUCUGCCAGCAUGAGAUGCUCGUUGAGCUAACUGCUCCGAUAUUGAUGGUUCACAAACACGCCACACAAAAGUCGUCUGUAGGCUACAUGGUCUUUCUUUUUGCCUUUGUUAUACACCAAUCUUAGGUCGUGUUCACACCUAAAGGUCCGUUUCCUGAUUUGAAUCCAAGGCAAGACGAUACAUUUGUUUUGAUUGUUUCCAGAAAACUGAAUCGGAAGUCACAUGACCGCGAAUAUCGUUCCGUUAUUGGUCAUUAGUUUAUGCGGGAAUACAAUCCCUGCUCUGCUGUCUUCGCCUGUCAUGAGAGUUUGAGGUCAGUGUUCACACUGACCCAAAUGAACAGCACCAAGGGGGUAAACGCUCCAGGGUUCGGUUCAACCAGACCCAACAAGGGUGGUGUGAAUGCACCCUAAAACCCUUUCUUCAUUUACUAACAGCACCUGCAUGCUGUAAGUCCCUGAAUCAGCACAGGGAUUCAGCACCUGGAUGUGGUCUGUGAUCAUUUUCACUUCACUGUGUCUGACGGUCGUAUAAGCGACAGAGCUUAUAAUAGGAGACCAACAUGUCCUUUGAUCAACUCUCUUUCUCAACAGUUUUUCUUUUACCUUUUUUCCCCAAAUUGUUUUCUCCAACUUUUGACUUUCUUACCAUAAUGUUGAACUUACUCUUUCAAUGCAACAUGCAAAAAGGGUAACGAAUCAAAUAACGGUUUGUGUGUGGCGCCAUCUUGCGUAGCUGCCAUAACUGUGGCGGUAACUCAGCGUCUCCUGCUGUAAACAGACCCUGACAGCGGUGUGGACAAUGGGAUUAUAAAAGGUUACCAUACCAGCCACCCAUUUGUGAUUCAGAGCUUUGUGUGAUUCAGAGCAUUAUUCUACCAUGCUCAGGUCAUAGUCAGUCAACAACUGCAUUUUAUCAUCUCAGACUAAUUACAUCAGCUAUUAGACUUUCAAACUGAAUAUAAAGCUCAAAUUGUCUUAUAACACUUAUAACUAAAGAUUGUAAUCAAGAUGUCACUCAGUAACGGGCAAAAUAUACUUGAUCUGAUGAAAAUGUCUCUCCUCUAAGUAGCUGCUCAGUCUCUGUGAGAUGUUUAUUCUUACACAGACUUACUCUUCAUGUAGUUAAGGUCUUUACACACCGGGGCCGGCGCAAAUAUAUAACGCGAAAUUACGAAAAUUUCUAUAUAUAUUUCUAUAUUUCUAUUAUACACAUCCUAAUGGUGCUGUGACAGCAACACGAUUGAGUUUGAGGCAGUGAAAAUACAUAUGGUAUGUUGUAUCUGAACAGGUUAGCUUACGAGCUAAAGUUACUUAGCACAGAUGAAAGUUAAAACAAAGACGUUUAGCAAACUGUUAAAGCACACAAACCAUCGUCAUAUGAGAAAUCUGAUGCUAUGACUCUCCACAAGUUGUCCUUCAGGUCAUUAUCCCUGUAAUAUUUGUGUCUUUUAUCAAAAAGCACUCUGUUCUCCGACACGUAAACAAUCACCCGGUCGGCCAUGUUGGAUAUACCGGUGAAUAAGACAUCACAACAACACGCAAUCUGAUUGGUCAGAAGUGGACACAUUGUAUGUGAAACUAUAAAAAAAUUGACCAUGAUCCGAAAAAAAUAAAUGCUGUGAUAUCGCAGGACGGGAAUAUGUCGCUGAUGUGAACGCUUGUAUUGACAGGAUAUGGGUUCGAAAAAAAAAAUAUUGACGUCCGAAAUAAUGGCACGAAAAAAAACGCUCCUGGUGUGACAGGACAUUUAAGGCAUAAGCGUCAGGCUCUCGAUAAAGUCGCUGAAACUCUACAGGUUAUAUCAGAUGCCACCUGCAUUGUUAUCAAAAGUGAAAUUGUGAAAAUAGCAAAUGUCAAAGAGAAAAUUGAUCACAGUUUGUCUUAAAACACACUGACAUUUUGAGCAGUCACCACCACAGUAAUGGCCAUUUGUAAUUGGUCUGUACUUCACCUACAUUAAAUUAAAAACAAACACAUUUAAGAAAUCGUUUAAGGCUUCACAACAUUUUUGUUCAAGAUCUAAUAAACAUUUUUAAUAACUUAUAUCAGUGUUCAUGAAAUGUUAUAAUGCAGUAAUAUGUUUAAUGAAAAACUGAUAACAACUCCUAAUGAAAUUUUGAGAACUCACUGAAUAUUAAAAUGUAGCACAUUAUUUUUAUGUGACUUCAUCAAGUGUAACUGAGAAUAUAGACCUCUGACAGCUUCACUUUCUUUCUAUCUAUCUAUCUAUCUAUCUAUCUAUCUAUCUAUCUAUCUAUCUAUCUAUCUAUCUAUCUAUCUAUCUAUCUAUCUAUUUAUUUAUGUAUUUGGUGGACAUUGUUUGAGAUUGCCAUAGCUAUACUUGAUGACAGCAAAUAAACAAAGUUAUGAGUAAAUAAGUCAUGUACUGUAACCAGUGUCCAUCUAAUCAUAUUAAAACUGUUGUGAUGAUUUCUUUGUUGUAUAUUCUAGUUCAUAUUUCAUUUUAUUUAAAGCACCCACACUCUUGCUAGGGCGUGUAAGUAAUAAUUACACCGUUUUCCAUCUGAGAAUCACAGAAAUGAUGACUUCUUGUGGUGCACUAAAUCAGUUCUGUGUGAUUUAUAAAUGUUUUGCAGUUAGGUAUGAUGUUUAAUAAAUCAUACCAUUAUGCUCAAGUUUGCCCUUGUUCAGAAUAAGCAGGCCUGGGGGAGGAACAUAAAAGCUCAUAUCUUAAAAUGAAAUUGAAUUAGGGUAGAAGAUCUGUGUGUAGGUGCAGACAGACAAGCAGGUGCAGUCUGUUUAGCUCUGGUCCAUCUCUGGUCUAUGUUUCCUCACAGUAUUGUGUUGGACCUUUGUCUUCAGUCUCAAUGAUGGGCCUCUCAGCUCUUAAACACAAACAGAUAGAAAAGUCUUCAAGCUAGCCACCAUAUUACUGUUACUACAAUGGCACUAAAAGACCAGUUCAAUAAUAACUGCCUUCCCUUUCUUGAGUUUCAAAAACUGCUUUCUCAGGAGCCUCAAGUGGCUCCUUCUUGAGUGGUAAGAGUAAACAUGAACAUCCCUUAAGAUCUCUGAAAUCACUCACCGUCCGCUGGGGACAAUAUAGGCAUUAGUAAUCAAGAGUAUAUUCAUAGAAGUGGUCAGUCUCUGCAGGGCCUCAGCAUGGAGCUGUGAGGAAACCAAAGACUGGAGCUGGAAGUGAAUACUGCUUUUAACCCUGACACCAUUGUGCUGGCUGGAGCUAAAACAGGCAACCACACAUAAUGAUUCCCUUUAGGUUUGAAGGGCUGACCUCACAGCGAUAAAGGCGGAGAAGCAGGUGAGUGACGGGGUAAUGUGACAAACAGCUGACUGACCUUAUCUGACAUGAAUUAUGCUUAUUUAUAUGUAUUAUAAAUUUAAGAUUCAGUAUCAAAGGAAACAAGAUUUCUCAGAAGUGAAAGUGAACAUCUGGCCUAUUAGUUUUGUAUAUAACCCUUAUUUCAGCCCAUUGAGAUUAAAAAUCUCUAUUUCGCUGGACACCUGGCCAAGGCAGCAGCAAAACCACACAGCUGCAGACACAGACACACAGGGAACCACAAUACAGUUCAAAAAAAUGGACAAUAAUAGAUCAACAAGAGCAACCAGGUCAUCAAACAACAAAGAUACUCAAAAGACUCUUCUUCAAAUUCUUUCAUUUCAGGUUUAAAAACAUUCAAUGACUCUUGGAGUUUCAAGUCAUUCUGUAGAAAAUUCCAGGAGGAGGGUGAAAAAUACCAAAAAGGCCUUUGACCAACUUCAGUGAGAGCUUUGUGACAGAAGCAUAAAGAAGUCCUGAGGGUUGAGAAAAUUGUCCAGCACAAUGUAACAAAAACACAAAAAACUGUGGUAGCACUGCGCCAGAGACGGCCAACCAACCCUACAAAGAGACAGCCAGUCCAGGUUUAAACAGUCAGUCCAGGUUCAAAGAGUCAGAGUGGAAACUUUGCACCGUUCAUCACCAUUCCAGUACCAUCCCUACAGUAAAGCAUGAUGGUGGCAGCAACAUGCUGUGGGGAUGUUUUUCAGCAUCAGGAACAAGAUUCAUCUUUGAACAGGACAAUGACCCUGAGCAAACAGCUGAGAUAACACAGCAGCCCAGACUUGAACCCAACUGAACAUCUCUGGAGAGAUCUGAAGAUGGUUGUGCGCCAAUGCUCUCCAUCCAACUUAUUGGAGCUUGAGAGGUUCUGCAAAGAAGGAUGGGAGAACCUGUCCAAAAAUAGAUGUACCAAGCUUUUAGCAUCGUACUCAAAAAGACUUGAGGCUGUAACUGCUGCCAAAGGUGCAGCUACAAAGUACUGAGCAAACAUUGUGAAUACUUAUGUACAUGAUUUAUUUCUGGUUUUUUUUUUUUUGGUUAAUAAAUUUGCAAAAUAGUGGUGUAGUGCCUACAAUAUACACCUUCAAUAUACACAUUGGUGUACCAAAGACAAACAAUAUUCUAAGUGACGAAAAGUACCAUAAUGAAUAAAAUAUGACAUAAAGUACAUACAGGUCAAGAUAAUAUCAAUAUAAAAACGACAACCAGAAAAAAAAAUGAAUUUAAGUAAAGAAGAUAAAUGAACCAGUCAUGACAUUAGGUAUAAUCAAGAAUAAUCUCUUUCUACAAGCUAGUCUUUCACCAACUUUCAUCCAUGACAAUUCAUUAUGCAUUAUCUCAAUGCCGGUCCUAAUUGACCAACGGAUAGCUAGUCUCCCAGCUCUGUGAUUUUGAAUUGUGCCAAUCACCUGAUAAGUUUUAAACCUGUAUUUUGGAGAGGAAAGCAUUUUUGAAGUUUGUAUGAUGGUGCUAUCUGACAGUUAGUCUGAGACUGCAGUUUGGGACAAGACCACGUGUUGACAUGUGACCGCAGUGACCAUGUUAAAGAUUAUCUGUUUCUUGGAUGCUUAAUGAAAAACACCUCCCAGCCGGUGAUCACAGCACUGGAGCUAUCAGACGAAGACAAACAGGCACAGGUUGUACACACAGUCAGCUCACCACUAUUGAUCUUUGGUUAAUGUGUGACUGCUGGUUCAGCUCUGGAUCAACACUGAAGUGCAUUUAUCAGUGUCAAAUCCAACGCCAUCAAGACUGUGGCGGUACGCCGGAAGACUUCAGCCUUCCCUCACUGCAAUACUUACAUGUAGACAGUUACGUGACAUCUUCCACAUAAAUGAGGUCAUUUUAUCUUAAAUAGGCUUUCUAGCACAUCCUUUUGGGUUAGCUCUACACUUUAGUCGUAUUGACCUCAGGGUGACCAAUGUGCAGGAUGAUCAGAACAAUUAAGAAAGAAGGAAUUAUUUUAGUUUAUAAUACUUUACUCAGUAGCAGCAACUACUCAUAAGUACCCAUCCGCUGUUUGUCUGGGGUACAGGGACAUUUCUCAGUGGUCUGCUGUGAGCAGUCAGUGUGAACAGACCUCUCUGAAAGCACCAUCAUUUGUGGGACUCAGGGGUUUGGUUUAUUGUGCUGUAAGUUUAAGUGCUACAAGGUCCUGACCACUUACAACAAAAUAUGAUGUUGUGGACAACUUUAGUUCCAGCUAAACUAGUCAAGCAAGCUGGUGAUAAUUAAUCUACAGCUAGUACAAAAUAACAAUGGCAACAUUGAGGCAUGGCAUUAGCCAUGACAUACACUGAUCCAACAGUACUCUCGUAUUGUGCAGAUGAAAUUAUAUUCCCUCUAUGACAGUGGUUCUCAACCGCGGGGGCGUGGACUCACUGGCUAUUAGUACAAAGGAGAUGUAGCAGAGUCCUAAUCGGUUGGACUGUAGACCAAUUUGAGAACCCCUGGUGUAGAGGAAAGGUGGAGCAGAGAUGGAGAGUAAGAAAGAGGCUGACCCCUUAGAUGCCAUCCUGAGUGUAUUAUACUUGAUUUAUUUACAUGUUGUUCAAAACAUUUUUGCAUAGGAAAUUGGACUUCUAAAAUACACAUUAGCACAUCAGUUCAACUGGAAUCACACCGAAACAAACUUCUAGUCAGACUAAGGGUGUUUUUACACCUAGAAGUCCGGAUCAAGGUUCGAACCAAGGUCCGUGUUUUUGUUACAUUGUAUACAUUUGGUUCGGUCUGUUAAGGUUUCACACUGUCAUUAUUGCAAACGGACUAACAGACUUUACAUGACGUACCUAUGGGAUAUUGUCAUCAACUACAUGCUUUGCAUGUCUCUGUAGUUUACAUUGAUUGGUCAUUUGGCCGGCGGGCAUCUGACGUCAACACGUUAAAUAACAAGGGUCUUGAAUAUUGUAAACAUGAAUAAAAUCAUCAUUCCCCCCAUCAUAUUACUGUUGAUUUUUAGCUACCAACAGCAAUAACUUUAAGAGCUGUACAUGAGGCUGGUCCAAGUUCAUCUUAUGAAUUUUAUCAUUAGACGACAACUUUAUCAACAUCGACAGGAAAGGAAAAGAAAGUAAACAAUCCUCAGAGCCACUGCAACAACAACUCUGGAGAGAAAGUCUUUGUUGUAAAAUUUUGAAAAGCUAAGCUGUCAAUGCUGAAGUAUCUACAAUAUUGUAAAAUUUUCAGUUCGUGGACAAUCUCCAUUACGCAUAAUAACAAACGCUUUCACUCUGAGCAUGAACUAGACCGCGGUUCAGUUUGGUCCGGACCGAGACCACCUCUUUUGGUCGGACCAAGGUUCGGCUGUUUGGUCCGGACCAAGGUCCUGGGGAGGUUUCACACCUAUCAUUUUAAUUGAGACUAAACAGAAAAGUCAGACAAUCCAGACCAAACGAUGUAGGCGUGAAAGCCCCCUUACGUACCUGGAUAAUGGGAAAGGAUUUUAUCUUCUGUGUCAACACUUAGACUGAAACUGGCCUCAGCUUUCUACAGAGUUUAAAUGCUGAGCUUUGAUACAAAAGUUGAAUGGCAUAACCAUGUUACUAGCAAGCCAAACUUCAAACAAACCUCAGCAAAGGAAGUAGGGGAGAAAAAAAAUAGAUGAAGCUUUGGGAUUGUUUGUUGAAAAGGUUCUGAGCUAUAGAAAAGAGUGUUUUCACUAUGUAUAUCCCAUCGUACAUUGCUCUGAAACUGAAUGUCUGAAACUGAAACUGAGGUGUGAUCCUAAACUUGUGACCAAAUCAAGAAAGGAGGUACCCUUUUUUAGGGCACAAACUUCCAGAAGAUUAAGUAUUUUGGCUUCCUAAUCACUUUUUUAAUGUUGUAACAAGAAGUUAAACACGCUCAUGAAAUGCAGCCAACUUCAGUUUAAACCCAUGUGGGGCUCUUCCAUGCUCAGAGUCAGAGUCCAGUAUUUUGGAGGCCUAAAGAGUGAAGGAAAGCCUUGUUAUGCUGGCGGAUGAAAUAUGAAAAGUUGGAACUUGGUUGACUUUCAGGUAUUUUAUUUCAUUCUUUUACCAACCAGCUUUUCUGGACUAAACCUCAUACAACAGACCUGUUUAUGUUAACGACUCAUCAGAGAGGGAGACUGCAGACUUAACAACAAGCCCCAGGGUCAGACAGAUCAUGACUGGGGGCCACUUCUGUGCCAUCAUUGAGGGGCCACAGCCUCACGGCCUGGAAAGUCCUGAGCAUGAAUUAUUUGUAAGAUAUCAGACUAACACAAUUUGAUUUUUACUGUGCACAGACUGUGCCCUUUAACAAAGUUGUUUUCUUGUCUGAACUGAGGUUUAAGCAGGUAUAGAUAUGGAAAUGUGGCAGCUAGAUCUGCAACAAGGGAGGCCGAUGAUUCUGUUCACAGUCUAUUGUGAGCUACAAACACCUACACAUUUACUGUCUUGUCUCAGUGCACAAAGCACAUCAGGAACCAGGCAAGCAGGAGGCCUGUCUGUGUUUCUUCUUUUUCCACUUUGACUCUUUCUUCUCUGCCCCCUCAGACUGAGAGAGAGAGAGUGUGUUUUACUGUGACAGGCCAUCUCAUCCAGAGCUAAACACGCAGUGACAGAAAAACACCCACCAACACUCCCAACCAUGGCUAAUGUGACAGCCCAGGCUGCUAUUCAUCCACUCAAUUACACAUGGGUACGCGCGCGCACACACACACACACACACACACACACACACACACACACACAUAGCUAACACAAACAGAGUUCCCCUCACUCACUCACUCAGUCACAGUCACACCCCAGUGGCACACAGGGCCUUUCUAACACAUGCUUUCACUCCAGUUGAUAAUGUGACAAGUAGGUGAUGUGAGUCCCUCCCACAGCCCGGUCUUUUACUGACUUUGGUUCAUUGUUGUGGAUGUCUGAGAUGACAAUUCAGGUACAUUUACUGUUUGUAGCUUUUUAUAAAAAUACAAUGAAACAAAAAAAAAACAUUUUUUUCUCCUUUUUUUUAAUCUGAAGAACAAGAACUUUAACCCUCAACUGUUUUUGUAGUCCGAUCUUUCUGUUGCUUGGAUCGAGCAGUUUUGACCACAGUUGCUCUAAGUGACUCACUAAAUUCAUUCUCUGUACUAAGGAGGUGAAAGUAUGUAUUUUUGGAGCUGUCAUUAUUCAACUUAUUUUUGAUGGUCAUAAUUGAAAGGUCUGGUUCUUGUGAUGGGGAGCAGAAAGCUGGCUUUUGAACUGUGCACUCAGGCUGGUCACUCUUGUCUUUGGAGCAGAGGAUGCUAUGUGUCCAAGAUUUCUGGAAGAAUGCCUAGUUUUCUCUAACCAGGCCACAGCACAGUCUUCCACUGUGACUCAUAAACAUGCACAAGCCCAGUGAAGUAGAAACUGUUACUCAACCAUGUUGAUACAGUUUUCAUGGUAUGCAGUUUUAGCUCAUACAGUGAUUCCCAUUACAGAGUCAUGUCUGUUUAAAAUGCAUUGCCUUCCAGUGUUGGCUGAUGGCUUUGUCCUUUUUUCACAGAGAUCUUUCCAGAUACUCUGAAACACUUCAUAACUUUUUGUUCUGCAAAUGAUGAAAUCCUCCAAUUCUUAGUAAUUUGACUCUGAGGAACGUUAUUGUAAAUUUUGCUGAACUAUUUGCCCUCCUCUCUGGGUUUAAUUGAUUUUAAAACCAUUAAAUUAUGUGUUCAUUAACUUUUAAAGCAGUGCUUUCCACAGUUUCCAAUUGGACCAAACAGGAGAGACCACCAAAAAGUGGGGCUAGAACCCGAACACAGAGUUCACCUGUUGCUGAUGUGGACUUCUCCUGCAGGUUAUCAUCCCUUCAGAAGUUCAGAUACUCUGGACCUACAAUACUUUGCUGAUCAAUCAAUGUUUUCGAGUAAGAUGGCUCUCUAUAAGAUGACAACAGUUGUAGAUCUCACCUGCUACUCAACAUACUGUCUAUCUAUUACAGUUAGAAAUGCAGGGCAACAUAUGGAGGAGGCCUGAAUUUCAUACUCCAUCAUAAAAUAUAAUUUUUUAUGGAGCCUAUACCCCAAAUCUGACACAACACUCUCACUUCACAAGGUCUGAAGCUUCCUGCAUGUUUCCCUUUAUUUGUGGCAGUAUCUGUCCUCUGAGAAAGCUUAAGGGAAGGUGGAUUUCACGUGUUGCUAUGUGAUCUGGAUAAAUUGACCCUCAAUGACUUGACUUUUUCAGCCUACAAAACGGCAUGGCUGCUCCUGAAAGGCCUACAUCAUGUCUGUGUGACAGUGGGCUGGCUGCCAUGCCAGAUUGCUUCGGUCAUUCUGGUCAUUACAGCUCCAUCUAACUGACCGCAGUCAUAUUGAAGAAAAUUGAAUGUUCCGGGGUUGACCUCUGCUGGCCUGACCUUCACCUGCUCCUCUGACCACAAGCUUUAAAUCACCCUACCCCCCUCCAUUCACAAUGCUGGCCGAAGGUCCUGAAGAAAGGCCAGCACAUCCAUUCACAGAGCAGGACCAUGGGCCAUGAGAAAGGACAGCGCCUGCCAGGUCACUCUGGACUCUUUGUAGAGGCUGAAGCUAAUGGCACAGCGAGCACUAAAAACACAAACACUGCCAUUCACCAGAGUGGGCCAAAACAUACAAUGGAUUUAGAGGAACAACGCCUCCUCAAUCAGAAUAUAGACUAGUCAUGUUGUGACCCACGUCUUCACACAGUCACACGUGAUCUGUGGAUUUGAUGCCAAACUCUCAGGGUUUUUUGUUCACUGGUGCAUAACUGAUAACCCAGAGAAGAGGGUUGAUGACGUGAGCUUAGAGCUGAUUUGAUUACUCUUGUUGAGGCCAUGGUGAUGAUCACUUUUCACUCUAAUGGCAGAUUUCCAUGCAGGAAUAAUGUAAAAUCAUGACUUAACAGCAAAGCAUCUGAUAAAAACUAAACCAGGGAUGGGCAGAGAGAAACAACGACAAACAGCACGCAAAAUGGGAAAAUAUGGAUUCAACUUCUCUUUUGUGUCUAUUGUGAAAUGCUCUGACCACUCACCAAAUGUGAGUCAAAGGAUGAAAACAUUAUUGAGCAAGUUGUUCAACCAAAAAUAAUCGACAAUAAUCAUAAAUAUGAUAAUGUAAGACUGAGGAAAAUGAUGUCUAUCACUCUGAUGCAUGCUGGGUGACAGUGUUGAUGGUAGCUGUUUAAGACUGAAGGUCCUUACACACCGGGGCUGACGCGAAUAUAGAACGCGAAAAUACGAAAUAUUCGGAGGUGAAUUUUGACGCGCCUGACUAAACAUAUCAAGCCCGAUGCAAUUUUGCGACUUUCCGGGGGGAAAAAGACGCAUCCCGGGAAGGACUUUUGCUGGGGAAAGUCCCGCCUCCUUCGUCUCUGAUUGGCUAGAACAGCUGGAAACGUUAUCACACGCUCAAGCCAAACAGUCAGGACUUAUAGCCAAUCAGUGGCGAAGAAGGGCGGGACCUUCCCUUAACAAUCUACAGCGUCCCGGGUGGAAAUGAGAAGAUAAAAAUUGAGUCUACUUCAACUUCAAGUGAUGGUGAAUUGGUACUCCUUUUGCUUUCUCAAAAGAAAGAUAAACGUAGCACAUGGGUGCAUCAAAUAUUACAAAAAAGAAGAGAACUUACUGAGUUUCACUGCUCGGUUCAGGAGCUGUAAUUGUACCACGGUCGCCUCAGAACCUGUUUUUGGAUGUCCGUUAGACAACUUGAAGUUCUGCUGAAACAAUUAACUCCAAGUUUGAAGAGGCAGAGGACUAGACACUGGUGUUGAGAUGGCUUUCUGUCAUGAUAGCAGAGGUGGGAAUUGUGGAGUCAGCAAGUCAUCUCCAUGCCAUGUAUUUGUUCUGCUAUGUCACUGAACCAGCUGCUUUCAAUGAGCAGCCAGGAAGGUGAGCUCAUUAGUGAAGGCACCUGAUUCAGUAACUGAGCAGAACAAAUACAUGACAUGGAGAUAACUUGCUGACUCCACAAUUUCCACCUCUGCAUGAUAGCAUGUACUGAGUCAGGGCCAGUACCAGAUAAGCACAUGAAACUAUGGUAACAACCAUUAGCUCACGUUAGCACAGAUGAAAGUUAAAACAAAGACAUUUGCAAACUUUUAAAGCACACACCAUCGUCAUAUCAGAAAUCCGAAGCUAUGACUUUUCACAAGUUGUCCUUCAGGUCGUUAUUUUUGUAAUGUGUGUGUAAACAAUCAUAAACAAUAAGCUGGUCGGCCAUGUUUGAUAUAUCGGUGAAUCAGACGUCGCAACAACACGCAAUCUGAUUGGUCAGAAGUGGACACACAGUAUGCGAAACUUUAGAAAAAUCGACCGUGAUACGAAAAAAUAAAUGCCGCAAUAUCGCAGGACGGGAAUGAUGUGGACGUUUGUAUUGACAGGAAACGUGUUCGAAAAAAACACUGACGUCCGAAAUAAUCGCAUGAUAAAAACGGUCCCGGUGUGAAAGGACGUUUAAUCUGAGACUUGAGUCAUACAUGUGAAGAGUUCUUCGGAUUUGGAAAAAUGACAUGAUUGUCACAACUUCUCUGUCAAACUGUCUCUCUCUAAAAACAAACUCAAUGAGUUUAUCAAAAGCUGGUUAUUAAGUUCUACCAGGAGUUUGAAUCUGCAACAUCUCACUGUCAACACUUAAGCUUGUAUGAUAUCUUGAUUCUUUAUCUUUAUGGAGUAUUUUUUCAUGACUCCUCAGUGUAAUGCUAUACUGGGCAACCAUCUGCUCAUCUGCUAAGGGAGAGACACAUAAAUGCAUCAAAUUGAAAGCAUUCAUCAAAUGCUCUCAUAUUUUGGCUAAUGGUGAGCUGAACAUCUAAAUUAACAACUCAUGAACGUAAGAACAUGAAUGUCAAGAUCCUUUUUUCUUCUUCUUCUUCUUUGUUCGUUUAAAGAGAUGUGAAAACCAUCGCACAAAACCCUCCUCAUCCCCCUUGAUGAAGAUUCCCACUGUGUAUUUGAGUAUUAUAAAAACUGAGGUUAUAAUCUUAAACCAAAUACUGAGCAAACUAAUGAAAGUUAAAUGUAUGAUUUCAAGUUUUCAUUGCUGCUGAUUUCUCCCCAUAUUUUAUUGGUAGACAACACACAAAUAGGAAGCUCUGCUGACAGAGAGGGGCAGUUUAAAGGUGAUGAGCAUGAGCUAGUCCACCUGUCUGCUGAAGUACCAAAGAUCACAGACUCAAAGACAUCCAUCGCUUUCACACCAGCGCUAUUUGGUCCGCUUUAAACGGACGAGAGUCCAUUUCCUCAGAUAGUCCUCUUCGUUUGUGAAGGUGUGAAAGAUCAUCCAAACUCUGGUACGGACCAAACAAGCAAACUGUGGUCCACCUGAAAAUGUGGAUCUCGAUUUACUUGCAAGUAAACCCUGGUUUGGUUCGUAAUGAAGCUAUACGCAGUACAUACACAGUGCAUCUUGGGUAGAGGAAGCAUGGCGCGCACUCCAAACCAAAACAAACAUGGCGAGAGGACAGACGUGGACAGACAAAGGGGUUAAAGUUCUCCUUGAAAUAUGGUCAGAUGACAGCAUAAACCUACUUCUGACAUCCACUGACAUCCCCAGAACAGCCAACUUCACAUGAUGCUCCAUCUUUACUGCUGUUUUUUCUGGAGCAGGACAGAGGGAUUUUCCCUCCUACUUUGUUCAUUCGACGAGCGUCCCUUUAAGCAACGUGAUGCUGCUCGGAAAGUUUGUGCGCUUUAAAAAUCACAGUGUGAAAGCAGAACCGAAAGAAGUGAUAAAUGCAUCAAUGUUGCGACUUUCAGCUCAGAACCACUUGGUCAGGUGUGAAAGCAACCUUAGUCUGAAAGGCUCCACUUUUUCUCACACAUGCACGCACGCACACACAAACUAAAGGAGGAGGGGACUUAUUUUUGACUGAUUAAGUUGGAUUAUUGUAAGGUCAGAGUUUUCUAUUAUUAGGGGCAUGGCAGACCUAAAUGCACAGUCGGUAGCACUCUGUAGCUGUUUGCGAAGAGGGUGAGACCAUGUCUCUAUAUUAAACAGAAUGUGUUUCUAAUAUAAUGCCAAAUGGCUUUGCCAGAGUCAUUAUAUUCAUAGAAAAACAUUGAACCACAAACAUUAAAAUGACAUCAUCCCACUCUAGGAUAGGAAAAAUCUCCAAAUGAAAAUACUUCGUAAGAAGACUGAGAAAACUUCUAUUCGUAGCACAGGUGUUGCAGGUAUGCAACAAACGUAAAGGUCCUUACACUCCAGGAACGAUGCAAAUAUACAACAUGAAAUUACAAAAUAUUCAGAGGCAAAUUGUGACGCGCCUGACUACACACAUCAAGCGCAAUGCGAUUUUGUGACUUUACGGGAGAAAAAAGAUGCGUCCCGGGUGGAAGCGAGAAGACUGACUCAACAGCAGACUGACUGAAAACAUAUGAUUAACACAUGAUAAACACAUUCAGGCCUUUUGGGUCAUGAGUGCGCUGUCUGGAUAUUAACUUCCUUCAGGAGAAACAAGAAAAUCUUCAGAAAGACUGAAAAGGAUUGUAGCAGCAUGUGGGCCUGACUCUCUAAGACCAUACUCAGAGAAUAGGUGACCAAAGGCAGACAGACAGCAGAUUGAAAUGUCCUCACACCCUCCGAAGUUAUGUCAUGUUCUGCAUAGUGACACUCUGACAAGGAUCAGCUAACUUGGACCUGGACUGAAUUGAGUUCACAUUCAAUCAGUUAUUCAGUUUACAGUAAAAUAACCUUAUCUGCUCCACUGCUGUAGAUGGAAGCACUCCAUAAUGAGGCAUCAAUAUUCAUUCAUCUCUUUGAAGGGACUCUGUUUCUUCCACUUGUUUUUCACUGCAGGACAUUAUGAUACAAACAGAUCAAGGUUCAACAGGUGCAGGUCCCUUUAAGCCGUCCUCGUCCCAUCCAGCUUUUCACUCAGCCCAUGAAUAUUCAAACACUCACCCACACUUUAAUCUGUCUUCUCAGCCAUGGGAGAAGCAAAUGGAUGUAGUAUCACACACAGAUACAAACAAGAAGCUGUAAAGAGAGAGGCAAAGUAGAGAAAAAAACUAUGUGAGUACACUAUAGAGCAUCAAAAAGCAAGUAUACUCCAACUACAAAGUUAUCAGUACUUCUUUGAUGUCCAGCAUAAAUAUCAGCUGAUCUGGUGCUGAUGUUUCGAUAAAUCGGGGGCCUUACAGGGACACGUUUAAAUGUAAAUAGAAUAUUUGCAGAACUGUCCUCUUCACAGUCAACACAGGCUGUUACAUGCAGUUAAAGUGCUGAACAGGCAGCGUGUUCAUCAAAUGUCUGUGGCCAUCAUUAUAAGAUUUUGUGAGUUUAACACCUUAGAUCACUCAGUGAAUGAGAUGGUCUUAAAGGUAUGAGAUCAUAGAGGGAAUUUUCAUCUCAUCCUUGCCAACAUGCCAACCAAACAGCUUGUUUUUGAAAAUUAUGAUUAAUCUCAGAGUGAUGGUUAAUGCCUUGCUUGGAGAAUUAAUUGAAUGCUCUGAAAUAAAUGUUUUGAUCUUGACUUAUAAAUCUAUUGGUGAAAUAAAUGUGGUACAGAUAAAGGUCCUUUCAGACGUCAGUAUUUUUUCUUUAACCUAUAUCCUGUCAAUUCAAGUGUUCACAUCAGCAACAAUACUGCAUUUAUUUUUUCGGGUCAUGGUCGAUUUUUCUAAAAUUUCGCAUGCUACGUCCCCACCAGAUCUUGAAAAAAUAAUCCAUGCUUUCAUUUUCUCACUGGACUAUUGUAACUCUCUCCUCCCUGGUUUAAAAAAGAAAUUACUCUCCAGCCUCAGACUAACUCAGAAUGCAGCAGCUCGGCUUUUAACUGGUUUUAGUAGACGGCAUCACAUGACCCCAAUUUUAGCCUCCCUUCACUGGCUUCCUGUCAGUUUCAGAAUUGAUUUUAAUAUUUUAUUGAUUACUUUUAAAGCACUCAAAGGACUUGCUCCAAGUUUCAGAGCUUUAAUACCAUAUGAGCCAACUCGCAGCCUCAGACCCUUGCGGAAGGCCUCCUGGUCGUUCCAAAGUCGAGGCUCAAAUCUAAAGGUGAUAGAGCUUUCUCCAUCAGAGCUCCUCUACUUUGGAAUGACCUGCCAGAGGAGAUAAGGCGUGCAGAGACAGUCGCUUCUUUUAAGUCAAAUUUAAAAACUCACUUUUACAGACUUGCUUUUAUGUGAUGCCGUCUUUUAUUUUUUAUCUUUUUUCUUUUCUUUUACCUCUUUUAUCUUAUUUCGACCUACUGUCCUUUAGCCUUUGUUUUACUUAUACUCUUUUCUUAUUUCACCUUUUAGACCUUUUAUUGAUUUUAUUGUGUUUUCCUGCUCAUUUUUGUUAUUCCAUUUUAUCAUUAAUAUCAUUAUUAUUUUAUUAUGAUUUUGUUAUCAUUAUUAAUAUUGCCUUUUUAAAUUUACUAUCCUGUUUACUGCUGUCUGUCCCCCUUUUUUUAUUACAUUUCUUUUUCUAACCUAUUUUAUGUUUUUAUUUAGGUCCUCAUGGUCUCAUUUUAUGUCGUAGGGUUCUUGUAUUGUCUGGGUUUCUUAUGACAAAUGAAAUUGGCCUUCAAUUCGGAGGCCUUGUUUUUAACUGAGCUUUUGUUUUUUAUUCAUUUUUAUUUCCAUGUGCUGAUGCUUUGCAACUGUUUGUCAAAGCAUGUUGUAAACUUUUGUUUUUAAAAGUGCUAUCAAAAUAAAGUUUUUAUUAUUAUUAUUAUUAUUAUAAUUAUUAUUAUUAUUAUUAUAAUUGGUUUGGAAAUGUUGAAGCUUCCUUGUCUCUAAAAGCUUCGGUAGGAAUCAUAGGACAUCCACACAGUCUAUUCUGUCCAACCUUUUACAAGACCUUGGUAUGGGGUUUCCUUUCAAAUGGCUUUGUAAACAUGGUUUUAAGACUCCAAUAUUUGCCUUUCAAUUGGUUCAAUAAAUCAAUCUAUUACCAAAGCUUAAGUGAAAAAAAGUUGUCGUGCAUGUGCAUGCCCUUGACACCUGAGAUGUGAUGAAGUGAAAAAAGAGCAAAGAUCACGGCGCUGUUUCCUCCUCGGGCUGCUGAUGAGGAAGCGGAGACUGCACUGAGCUGAAAGCUGAGUCAACUUCAGUAAUCUACAGCCUGAUGUUGACUCUGUGAUAAUUGGUCUGUGGUCUUAAUGAGCUUAACUAGAUAAGUCUGGGGGAAGGGGGGGGGGGGGUCCUGCAAGGCUCAGUAUGGAAGCUCACACAGCAGGCUGCUGCACAGAAGCUGGGUCAUUAAUCUAAACAGAUCACAUUGCUGUUGUUCAAAACAAUCUAAAGGUGACAGUGAAUCAAAUGGUAUCAGACCACAUGAUUAAGAACAAGAGUGGACAUUUAGUCACACCAUCAGAAAAAGACUGAGUUGUUUGGUGAAGCAUUAAAAAAUCUGUGGAAAGAGAUCGUAUUGAUUUUGACAAUGAUUUAAAAAUGCAGACUUGUCAAACUUUAGAUGGUUGUACCAAGAAAAAUAACUUUUUUUUGUUUGUUUGCAUUUGAGGACAGAGUUCAUGUUUCAAACUGCAUUAAAAAUAUAUAUUUUUAAAAAUCACUUGUUGAAACAGUAUGCAAGACUUUAGAAAAAUCGACCAUGGUCAAAAAAAUAAAUGCCACAAUAUCACAGGACAGGAAAACGUCGCUCAUGUGAACGCUUGUAUUGACAGGAUACCAGUUCCAAAAAAAUAUUGAUGUCCGAAAUAAUCGCACGUUUCUUAACAUCUCUUGCCAAAGAAAAAGCUCCACAGGUACUUUUUUUGUUGAGCCUAACUUCAAUAAUAAACUCAGUGCACUAAUGAACGAUUAUAUUUCAUACCAUAACAAUUAAGCUGUACAGGAUCAUAGAAAAAGUCAAAGUGACUGACUGGUGUCUCAAAUGUUGGUCCACGUGUUCAUUAAGCCUGGACUUCUCUAUUGUUUGCAGACAUGCAGACCUGAGUGGAUGUACAGAGACUUGUCCUUGCAGGGUGAUUGAUUAGUCCAUCAUUGGCCAUCAGAGGACCCCCCCUCCUCCUCAUCCAGAGACACUCAAAGAAAUAUCAGCACAUG